rnacentral:rRNA from 1 species
CCUACGGGAGGCUGCAGUGAGGAAUAUUGGUCAAUGGACGAGAGUCUGAACCAGCCAAGUAGCGUGAAGGAUGACUGCCCUAUGGGUUGUAAACUUCUUUUAUAGGGGAAUAAAAUGUGCCACGUGUGGGAUUUUGUAUGUACCAUAUGAAUAAGGAUCGGCUAACUCCGUGCAAGCAGCCGCGGUAAUACGGAGGAACCGAGCGUUAACCGGAUUUAUUGGGUUUAAAGGGAGCGUAGGUGGAUUGUUAAGUCAGUUGUGAAAGUUUGCGGCUCAACCGCAAAACUGCAGUUGAAACUGGCAGUCUUGAGUACCGUAGAGGUGAGCGGAAUUCGUGGUGUAGCGGUGAAAUGCUUAGAUAUCACGAAGAACUCCGAUUGCGAAGGCAGCUCACUGGACUGCAACUGACACUGAGGCUCGAAAGUGUGGGUAUCAAACAGGAUUAGAUACCCGAGUAGUC